UCUGAAUGGGGCAACCCACUAUAUUGAAGAUAUAGUAUCCGAAAGGAAGCAAACCCGGGGAACUGAAACAUCUAAGUACCCGGAGGAAGAGAAAACAAUAGUGAUUCCGUUAGUAGCGGCGAGCGAAAGCGGAUUAGCCCAAACCCAUGUUGUUACGGCAAUAUGGGGGUUGUAGGACCACGACAUUUGAUGCUCUAUGAAUUAGAAUCUGUUGGAAAUCAGAACCGAAGAGGGUGAUAGUCCCGUAUAAGUAAAGAAAGUUAUCAAUAGUGGUAUCCUGAGUAGCGCGGGGCACGGGAAACCUUGCGUGAAUCUGCCGGGACCAUCCGGUAAGGCUAAAUACUCCUGAGAGACCGA
rnacentral:rRNA from 1 species